GUUCUACUCCCUCCGUCCUAAAAUUCUUGUCUUACAUUUGUCUAGAUACGGAUGUACCUAAUACUAAAAUGUGACUUGAUACAUCCGUAUUUAGACAAAUCUAAGACAAGAAUUUUGGGACGGAGGGAGUAAUAA
rnacentral:pre_miRNA from 1 species